GCUCCACCGGGAAAAGAAGGAGUGUGUUUUAACGGGUGAGUAACACGUGGGUAACCUGCCCAUCAGAAGGGGAUAACACUUGGAAACAGGUGCUAAUACCGUAUAACAAUCGAAACCGCAUGGUUUCGUUUUGAAAGGCGCUUUACGGUGCCGCUGAUGGAUGGACCCGCGGUGCAUUAGCUAGUUGGUGAGGUAACGGCUCACCAAGGCCACGAUGCAUAGCCGACCUGAGAGGGUGAUCGGCCACAUUGGGACUGAGACACGGCCCAAACUCCUACGGGAGGCAGCAGUAGGGAAUCUUCGGCAAUGGACGAAAGUCUGACCGAGCAACGCCGCGUGAGUGAAGAAGGUUUUCGGAUCGUAAAACUCUGUUGUUAGAGAAGAACAAGGGUGAGAGUAACUGUUCACCCCUUGACGGUAUCUAACCAGAAAGCCACGGCUAACUACGUGCCAGCAGCCGCGGUAAUACGUAGGUG
rnacentral:rRNA from 1 species